rnacentral:rRNA from 1 species
UACCCGCAGCUCAAGUGGUGGUCAUUAUUAUUGGGCCUAAAGCGUCCGUAGCUGGCUUGUUAGAUGCCUGGGUAAAUCGAUGCGCUUAACGCAUCGAAUUCCGGGUAGACCGGCAAGCUCGAGACCGGGAGAGGCGUGAGCUACUCGAGGGGUAGGGGUAAAAUCCUGUAAUCCUUCGGGGGAGGACCAGUGGCGAAGGCGUCACGCUAGAACGGCUCUGACAGUGAGGGACGAAGCCCUGGGGCGCAAACCGG